AGGCAUAUGACUAUCUUUCCAUUAGUGAUGCCCGCCAAAUGUUGCUAUUCUCUUCUGAUGAUGAACUUUUGCAGUACAUUAACGAGGAGCAUCCUGAGUGGGAGAUAAAGAAUGGUGUAGUUAUUUUCCAGAAGGCAAAAGAAUCUGCCCCUUGCAAGGAAAUACCAUCUCUACAACUCAUCAAUCAGACUCUGAGUUAUGCAAGAGAGUUGGAGCGAAUUGUGUAGAGAGAUUUGCUACCAAUGGCUGUGGGUGCAAAAGUGCAAAAUGAAAACCGUUCUCCUUGAGGAUAAACAUAUUUCUUAUUUAUAUUUCAAUUUGGUCAUUCCAGUAACACAGUUUGGUCAUUAUGGCAGGUGCUCCCUC
rnacentral:misc_RNA from 1 species